rnacentral:rRNA from 1 species
GAUGAACGCUGGCGGCGUGCCUAAUACAUGCAAGUCGAGCGAACAGACGAGGAGCUUGCUCCUCUGACGUUAGCGGCGGACGGGUGAGUAACACGUGUAUAACCUACUUAUAAUACUGGGAUAACUUCGGGAAACCGGAGCUAAUACCGUAUAAUCUAUUGAACCGCAUGGUUCAAUAGUGAAAGACGGUUUUGCUGUCACUUAUAGAUGGAUCCGCGCCGUAUUGGCUAGUUGGUAAGGUAACGGCUUACCAAGGCAACGAUGCGUAGCCGACCUGAGGGCGGGAUGGCGCACUGUGAAGGUGAGAGGCGGUCCAGGCUCCUAGGGAAGGCAGCAGUAGGGACUGUUGCGAAAUGGGCGGAAGCUUGCAGGAGCAACGCAGGGUGAGUGAUGAAGGUCCGCGGGUGGGAAGACGGUGUUAUUGGGGAAGAACGAAUGUGUAAGUAACUAUGCGCGAGUGGACGGAACCUGUAAAGAAGGCCACGGUAACUUACGU